rnacentral:rRNA from 1 species
UACGGAGGGCGCGAGCGUUAAUCGGAAUUACUGGGCGUAAAGCGCGCGUAGGCUGUUGUGUAAGUUGGGGGUGAAAUCCCACGGCUCAACUGUGGAACAGCCCUUGAUACUGCGCGACUUGAAUCCGGGAGAGGGUGGCGGAAUUCCAGGUGUAGGAGUGAAAUCCGUAGAUAUCUGGAGGAACAUCAGUGGCGAAGGCGGCCACCUGGACCGGUAUUGACGCUGAGGCGCGAAAGCGUGGGGAGCAAACAGG